rnacentral:piRNA from 1 species
CAUAUGGUGAUGGCAAAGGUGUAGAACACA